rnacentral:rRNA from 1 species
ACUCAAAUGAAUAGACGGGGGCCCGCACAAGCGGUGGAGCAUGUGGUUUAAUUCGAUGCAACGCGAAAAACCUUACCAGGGUUUGACAUAACGUGAAUUUUUUGGAAAGAAAAAAGUGCCUUCGGGAACACGUAUACAGGUGGUGCAUGGCUGUCGUCAGCUCGUGUCGUGAGAUGUUGGGUUAAGUCCCGCAACGAGCGCAACCCUUAUUUUUAGUUGCUUGCAAAAGCUCUCUUGAAAGACUGCCAGUUAUAAACUGGAGGAAGGUGAGGAUGAGGUCAAGUCAUCAUGCCCCUUACACCCUGGGCUACACACGUGCUACAUUGGCCAAGACAAAAAGUCGCAAACCUGCGAAGGCAAGCAAAUCUUAAAACUUGGUCUAAGUUCGGAUUGAAGGCUGCAACUCGCCUUCAUGAAGCUGGAAUCGCUAGUAAUCGCUGGUCAGCUACACAGCGGUGAAUCCGUUCCCGGGCCUUGUACACACCGCCCGU